rnacentral:lncRNA from 1 species
CCACAUUUAUGGAACGGGACUGCGCUAUGGCACUUUGUUAUGACUUUUUUUGUGUGUCUGCUAAAUGUUGCGCGUAUUUUUAUUUCUGCGUUAUCUUUGGUCUUGCUCGUCGGCUCCUGACUCUUCACAUUUCGAGUGGACGUUUGACUUUGAUGCUCGCGUUAAACAAAUCCUUCGACUGGAGAAAUGCAGUUCAAGCACAGAUGCUUUGGGAAGAAGGAACAGGAUAUUUGGGGUACAGACUGAAGAUGUUUUAUUCCUAACAAGAUGGGACGCUUACAAGAAACACAUGACCAGAGACAAGACGUACACAAAAGACUGAACAAGGCCAAGCAGAGAGCCGCCUGCAUUCCAGGGGAGGUUUGUUGUGUUGCGCUCGUUCCGUAUCUCUGUGAGAUGAGAUGGGCCGCAUUGGGCUGGGCUGACCUCCACUGGCAAUGAAUGAGGUCCCUUGACAUGGAAAAGCUGCGGCCCCAUACAUACCGACAUACCAGCCUGAUGGUGGCACAUCCCAGAGCGACGGGCAAGCGGGGAGCCCACCCAGAUCCGCUGGCUCUCUCCGUGCCCACCUUCCAUGUUCCUCGUCUCAAGAUCAAGGGCAGGCCGUGUGUCGGGGGACCAGGCUAAUGAGAGCAUGGACCAUGCCAUCACUUUCAUGCACUGGCCCAAGAGUGCAAUUUCAUCUAACGCUAUUUCCUGCAGAUAAGAACAAACAUUCUCCUAUUUGGCUUAUUUGAAAGUGGGGAGGCUGAGGUCCUUUAGAUAUAAUUCAGUGCAAGAUAACAUUUUUGUUCCUUUCAUCAAUAUAUAGAAAUCUUUUUUUUUUUAAAUUGUGCUGAUGGUAAAUUGUUUGCUGGUGUGAUAUGUUCAUUUGGGUACAGAACCCUUACUGUACUCCCUGUUCUCACUGUCCUUCAUUGCCAAAUGGUUGUCCUGUCCCAAGCAGACCUCCAGCUUCUCUGGUUCUCAAGUGGUUUAAUCAAGCCUGCAUUGCACGAUUACUUUACUCACCCAAGACCUCCUAAAUUGUUUCCAGCUUAAAAGAUCAGUUAACAUCGUUUGUGGGGCCAAUAGAAGUUGGAUAAAUAUUUUCUGUGGUUUUUUUUUCUUUAGCUGUGGACAUGAGACCUGUGAUCUUGUCACCUGGAUUUUAUUGAACAAAUAGGCAACAUUUGUUCACUUACCACAAUGACUAAUAUGUUUCAUUUUUUUUACUGCAGCAGAGAAUACAUUCUUAACAUUUAAGAAGGGACACAUUAUUGGUCUACACCAUGCAAAUAAAAUGAGAAAACUGUGUGGUCA